rnacentral:rRNA from 1 species
UGGGGAAUAUUGCACAAUGGGGGAAACCCUGAUGCAGCGACGCCGCGUGAACGAAGAAGGUAUUCGUAUCGUAAAGUUCUGUCCUAUGGGAAGAUAAUGACAGUACCAUAGAAGAAAGCUCCGGCUAAAUACGUGCCAGCAGCCGCGGUAAUACGUAUGGAGCGAACGUUGUCCGGAAUUAUUGGGCGUAAAGGGUACGCAGGCGGUUUAAUAAGUCGAAUGUUAAAGAUCGGGGCUCAACCCCGUAAAGCAUUGGAAACUGAUAAACUUGAGUAGUGGAGAGGAAAGUGGAAUUCCUAGUGUAGUGGUGAAAUACGUAGAUAUUAGGAGGAAUACCAGUAGCGAAGGCGACUUUCUGGACACAAACUGACGCUGAGGUACGAAAGCGUGGGGAGCAAACAGG